rnacentral:rRNA from 1 species
GACGAACGCUGGCGGCGUGCCUAAUACAUGCAAGUCGACCUUAGUGGCGGACGGGUGAGUAACACGUGGGAACCUACCCAUCAGAGGGGGAUAACGUCCGGAAACGGGCGCUAAUACCGCAUACUAUCAGAUGAGCCUAGGUCGGAUUAGCUAGUUGGUGGGGUAAAGGCCUACCAAGGCGACGAUCCGUAACUGGUCUGAGAGGAUGAUCAGUCACACUGGAACUGAGACACGGUCCAGACUCCUACGGGAGGCAGCAGUGGGGAAUAUUGGACAAUGGGCGAAAGUCUGACGGAGCAACGCCGCGUGAGUGAUGACGGCCUUCGGGUUGUAAAGCUCUGUUAAUCGGGACGCGGUACCGGAAUAGAAAGCCACGGCUAACUACGUGCCAGCAGCCGCGGUAAUAC